UCCCGCCGGAGGUCACUGCUAUUGGGAUUCGGCUAAGCCAUGCAAGCGGAGGGCGCGGUCGAAAGAUCGUGGCCCCGCACACUGCUCAGUAACACGUAGUCAACCUACCCUUGGGACGGGGACAACCUCGGGAAACUGAGGCUAAUACCCGAUAGGUGAGGGACGCUGGGAUGCCUCCUCGCCCAAAGCUCCGGCGCCCAAGGAUGGGACUGCGGUCUAUCAGGCUGUUGGUGGUGUAACGGACCACCAAACCUACGACGGGUACGGGCGAUGGGAGUCGGAGCCCGGAGAUGGGGACUGAGACAAGGCCCCAGGCCCUACGGGGCGCAGCAAGCGCGAAAACUCCGCAAUGCGCGCAAGCGUGACGGGGGGAUCCCAAGUGCCGUUGGUCUUUCGAUCGACGGUUUUUAGGAAGUCUAAGAAGCUUCCAGAAUAAGGGCUGGGCAAGACUGGUGCCAGCCGCCGCGGUAACACCAGCAGCCCAAGUGGUGGCCACGAUUAUUGGGCCUAAAGCGCUCGUAGCCGGAUCAGCAAGUCCCUUGUGAAAUCGGGCCGCCUAACGGUUCGGCGUGCAAGGGAUACUGUUGGUCUUGAGGCCGGGAGAGGUCGGAGGUACUCCUGGGGUAGCGGUGAAAUGCUCUAAUCCUAGGGGGACCACCAGUGGCGAAGGCGUCCGACCAGAACGGACCUGACGGUGAGGGGCGAAGGCUAGGGGAGCGAACGGGAUUAGAUACCCCGGUAGUCCUAGCUGUAAAGCAUGCGGGCCAGGUGUCUAGCGCUCCUUGAGGGCGCUAGGUGCCGGAGGGAAGCCGUUAAGCCCGCCGCCUGGGAAGUACGGCCGCAAGGCUGAAACUUAAAGAAAUUGGCGGGGGAGCACCACAAGAGGUGGGACCUGCGGUUCAAUUGGAUUCAACGCCGGG
rnacentral:rRNA from 1 species